ACCCGCGUACAUGCCACCGGGGCAUCCCGGAGGCAGGAAAGGCUUCGGCCGGACAGGGAUGGGCAUGCGGCGCAUUAGGCAGUAGGCGGGGUAACGGCCCACCUAACCGACGAUGCGUAGGGGUUCUGAGAGGAAGGUCCCCCACACUGGUACUGAGACACGGACCAGACUCCUACGGGAGGCAGCAGUGAGGAAUAUUGGUCAAUGGUCGGGAGACUGAACCAGCCAAGCCGCGUGAGGGAGGAAGGUACAGAGUAUCGUAAACCUCUUUUGUCAGGGAACAAAGACUGGGACGCGUCCCCGGAUGAGUGUACCUGAAGAAAAAGCAUCGGCUAACUCCGUGCCAGCAGCCGCGGUAAUACGGAGGAUGCGAGCGUUAUCCGGAUUUAUUGGGUUUAAAGGGUGCGCAGGCGGUCUGUUAAGUCAGCGGUCAAAGCCCGGGGCUCAACCCCGGCCCGCCGUUGAAACUGGCAGUCUCGAGUUGGAGAGAAGUAUGCGGAAUGCGCGGUGUAGCGGUGAAAUGCAUAGAUAUCGCGCAGAACUCCGAUUGCGAAGGCGGCAUGCCGGCUCCACACUGACGCUGAGGCACGAAAGCGUGGGUAUCGAACAGGAUUAGAUACCCUGGUAGUCCACGCAGUAAACGAC
rnacentral:rRNA from 1 species